UUCCUGAUGUUUAGUCAGAAUCUCCUUUCUUGUAAUUUGCAGCCAUUGGUUUGAGUCCUACACUUCGAAGCAGGAGAAAACCAGCUUGCUCCAUCUUCCACAGCCCUUAAUAGAUUUGAAGACGGCUAUCAUAUCUCCACUCAGUCUUCUCUUCUCCGGGUUAAACAUACCCAACUCCCUCAACC